rnacentral:rRNA from 1 species
GACGAACGCUGGCGGCGUGCUUAACACAUGCAAGUCGAACGGAAAGGCCAUGCUUUUGUGGGGUGCUCGAGUGGCGAACGGGUGAGUAACACGUGAGUAACCUGCCCUUGACUUUGGGAUAACUUCAGGAAACUGGGGCUAAUACCGGAUAGGAGCUCCUGCUGCAUGGUGGGGGUUGGAAAGUUUCGGCGGUUGGGGAUGGACUCGCGGCUUAUCAGCUUGUCGGUGGGGUAGUGGCUUACCAAGGCUUUGACGGUUAGCCGGCCUGAGAGGGUGACCGGCCACAUUGGGACUGAGAUACGGCCCAGACUCCUACGGGAGGCAGCAGUGGGGAAUAUUGCACAAUGGGCGGAAGCCUGAUGCAGCAACGCCGCGUGCGGGAUGGCGGCCUUCGGGUUGUAAACCGUGUUCGCCUGUGACGAAGCGUGAGUGACGGUAAUGGGUAAAGAAGCACCGGCUAACUACGUG